GGCCAGGGUGGUGUAGUGGUUAGUGUGUCCGACUAGGACCUGGGGGAGCAGGGUUCGAAUCCCCACUCAGCCA